rnacentral:rRNA from 1 species
ACCUUUUGUAUAAUGGGUCAGCGACUUAUAUUCUGUAGCAAGGUUAACCGUAUAGGGGAGCCGAAGGGAAACCGAGUCUUAACUGGGCGUUAAGUUGCAGGGUAUAGACCCGAAACCCGGUGAUCUAGCCAUGGGCAGGUUGAAGGUUGGGUAACACUAACUGGAGGACCGAACCGACUAAUGUUGAAAAAUUAGCGGAUGACCUGUGGCUGGGGGUGAAAGGCCAAUCAAACCGGGAGAUAGCUGGUUCUCCCCGAAAGCUAUUUAGGUAGCGCCUCGUGAACUCAUCUUCGGGGGUAGAGCACUGUUUCGGCUAGGGGGCCAUCCCGGCUUACCAACCCGAUGCAAACUACGAAUACCGAAGAAUGUUAUCACGGGAGACACACGGCGGGUGCUAACGUCCGUCGUGAAGAGGGAAACAACCCAGACCGCCAGCUAAGGUCCCAAAGUCAUGGUUAAGUGGGAAACGAUGUGGGAAGGCACAGACAGCCAGGAUGUUGGCUUAGAAGCAGCCAUCAUUUAAAGAAAGCGUAAUAGCUCACUGGUCGAGUCGGCCUGCGCGGAAGAUGUAACGGGGCUAAACCAUG